GGGGGUAUUGCUCAGUGGUACAGCGUGUGCUUAGCAUGCAUGAGGUCCUGAGUUCAAUCCCCAGUACCUCCA
rnacentral:tRNA from 1 species